rnacentral:lncRNA from 1 species
GAGGGGAGUGAAGUCACUCAGACACCCACCAUACUCUGGGAACUGAAAGACAGUGAUGCUCUGAUGAACUGCAAUCACACUAAGGGAUCUACCUACACCCAGAUGUACUGGUACAGACAGCUUCCAGGAGAGGGAAUGAAGCAGGUAGUUUACACAAGUAGUUAUAGCGAUCCAGAAUAUGGAGACUUCAGUAAAGACAAAUAUCCAACUGUUAAGGGCUAUAGCUGAGAGUGGAUCUUUCACAGUGAAGAAGAAGUUGGAGACAGGAGACAGUGGAAUGUACUUCUGUGCUGUGAGUGAACACAGUGAUACAGACAACAAGUACAGCUGCACAAAAACCCCAGUAUUUCAAUAGGAUGUAAUAUAAUAUGUAAAUAGAUGGUCUCAUCACAUACUGUAGGGGACCUCUAACUCUAGUUCUUCUAAUGUCUGAUGGUUACAUUGUCAUGAUCAUGUAAUCAGUCAUGUUCACAGUGAGGUCCUAUGAGCAAGCUUUACAGUACAGGCUUCCUGACACUCCUUCUAACACUGUCACUAUCCUCCACCCUGAGGAAACAUGCUACUACAACAGCCAAUCUCCUUUCACCUCAGAGCUUCACCCAGGAGACACUCAUAUCACAUCCUCAUCAUCAUCGUCUUCCUCAGCAUAUUCAUCAUCUUCAUCAUCAUCAUGAUAUUUUUCUUCAUCAUGAUGUUCAGAGUUCUGAUUCACCUGGCAGCUCUACCACUCUGGGUGACAGGGCAGUUGUUUAGUAGCAUGGUUCAUCAGAGGCCUGUGGCACUAACAGAAGGUCCUGGAGGAGACGUUCAACUCACCUGCAGCCAUACGAUCCCUAACUACUACGUGAUACUAUGGUACAAACAGUCAGCAGGAGACACUGCUAUGAAACUCAUUGGUUAUGCAUAUACCAAGUCAAUAACCAUGGAGAAAUCAUUUGAAAAGCACUUUAAUGUGAGUGGAGACGGUGGGAAAGAGGCUUAUCUUCAUCUAGUGAGUCUGAGAGGACCUGAACACAGUGCAGUUUAUUACUGUGCAGCCAGCCAACACAGUGAUGUAGACUUCCUCCUGCUCUCUACUAAAACCCUGUCUGAUGGUAAUAUUAGACCACGGCUCAGAACACCUGCAU